CGGCCUUGGCGGCGCCAGUGCGGGGGCGGCGGGCGGCAGUGACUCCGGCUCCAUCCUGGGACUCAUCACGCCACUCCUCGGCAGCAGCAGUCAGGGCUCCGCUGGGGACGGCACGGCGUCCGCAGGAGGCAGUCCGGGUGGAUCGAUCAAGUCCUUCAUCUUCAGGAAGAUUGUUCAGCUGCUUGGUUCGUCGUCCGGGAGCCCCCAGGCUGGAUAAGAGCUUUCCGUCGGUAGAAAUACAAAGGGGAUAAUUUCAAAUUGACUUGGUUCUUUGUCCGGGAAUCAAAUGUGAUAUGAUAUCAAUAUACAAAUAUCUAAUAGAUUGAUAUGGUUUAGAUUGUUAUCUUAAUGCGGAAUAUUAAGGUUUGACCUGUGUUCAUGCACACUCUAAGAGAUUCAGACUAGAAUACAGCCAUGACCUAUGCAUUUGUCAAUUAGGUGUGCACUUCAAUGAAAGAGGAUCAUGUCUGUAAGAGUCUUAUUAAUUAUGAACAACUGUGAUACUGUAUGCAAAAUGUAUACCAAUGAAAAUAAUGAUGCACCUUCACAUUAACUUACAUUUGAGUUGAAGUUAAGUUAGACUGAAUAACUCCUGGCUCACUCCAAAAACAUGAAUUGCCAGAAAAUGUUGUUGGCAAUAUAAAUUAAAGGAGAGCAUUCUUUAUACUGCAUAGUACAUAGUUCAUACAGUUAUUUUUUUUCCUGCAUAUUUAUGUCACCAUCAUAGAAUUCAUCCUUACAUUUACCUGUCGUCACCAUCUU